UCCUUCCUUCCUUCCUUCCUUCCUCUCUUUCUUUCUUCCUUCAUCUCUUUCUUUCUUUUCUUCCCAGAACAGAAACAUUCUAGACAGAUGAUUACAAAUUAACUUUUGAACACUCCAAUAAACAUGACUGCAAUCAUUCCCUCUGUCAAUAAGACUCUGGCUGGGCAGUAAGAAGACAGGCAAAUAUCCCCCACUGGAUAUGGAAGACAAAUUCCUUUAGCAAACUUCAAGCACUGCAGGCUGCUCUCUACUCUGCCUUCACAGAUGUCCUGGAACAAGUGCAUGAGGAUGGAAAUGGCUGCAGAAGGCUACAUGUCUGGAAAUGCUGAUUUGGAGAAUGAGCCUCAGAUUUCCUCAGAAAGCAAAGAGAUCAGGAAAUCCAUCCAUACAGUGCUUUAUAGAGGAAAUAAAAGGGAGUGGAUUCUGUCACGUUCCUGAGACCGCUUGUAAAAACGUUUAUUAAAGUGAGAAACUACUAAUAAACUUUAAACUAGGCAAUCAGCACGACUAAAAUGUUUGCUUAACAUCUACUCCCAUUUCUAAGU